rnacentral:rRNA from 1 species
GACGUAGGGCGCGAGCGUUGUCCGGACUUAUUGGGCGUAAAGAGCUCGUAGGCGGCUUGUCGCGUCGUCCGUGAAAACCUGCGGCUCAACUGCAGGCUGGCGGUCGAUACGGGCAGGCUGGAGUUCGGUAGGGGAGACUGGAAUUCCUGGUGUAGCGGUGAAAUGCGCAGAUAUCAGGAGGAACACCGGUGGCGAAGGCGGGUCUCUGGGCCGAUACUGACGCUGAGGAGCGAAAGCGUGGGGAGCGAACAGG